CCCCUCCCAGUUGCCAGUUGGGGUUCUUGCGCAGGUCCUAUUAAUUUCGCUGGGAUCCAAGCAAGAUUCAUGGGCUACAACCUUCUUUUUGAAGGCCUUAGAGAGCGCUGUGGAUCUAGAUACGGUUAUACUACAAACUUCAAAAAGUGAUGUGAUUCACAGGGACAAGGCCUCUAUAUGGUAAUUUCAGCUGGAUGGAAGGCGGUGUAGGUAUGUGUUGUAUGUGUGGAAAUGUGUUGUGGGGGAAGCGGGCUCUCAAUUGAGGAGACGGCUAAGCUCGGGGAGAGCACAAGAGUUGGACGGUGGGUGACCCUGCGCAUCUUUUUCCCAACACCAGCAUCCACCGAUCUACACCGAGCUGCCGUCUGCAGGGUAAGCAGGAGCACGGCACAAGGCUAAGGGACAGGGACAGGGAUGGGAGAGAGCGAGAGAGCUACGGUUAGCAAUAAGCAAAGCAUCUCUAGGGCGCUUAUCCUCACACAACACCUAGACCGCGGUGUGAGGAAGGGGUGAUGGAGUAGACGCCCAAACAAAUGCCUUUGAUAUUGGCUCCUUCAAUAGACACAUCAUUAUCCCACUUAAGUGUGCCUUGUGUGCACCUCUCCUCUUUAGGUCUGUGGACGGCUAGAGCUAUAGGCAAGCUAAGGUAGUUCACCUGGUUUAAUUAGUCACUAGAAAAGGUUGGGAUUGUCUCAAUCAACGAGAUGGCCCCAAUGUUCCAUGGAGAGGGCCAGCUUGGUGAGUAGUAAGUGCUGGACUCCCAGAUUCAUGCAACGUACAUACACACGCGCACGCACACACACACACAUACUUUCCUGCAAUGUAUUGUUCUAUACAUAGUGUGAUAAGAACUAAUGUAAUGGAAGACGAAAAUGUGGUUUUCCCACCCCUUUCUUUAUGGUUUACGUGUAGCCAUCUGACCACUUUUUAUUGGGUGACAUAUCAUAUGAGCACUUUAGGGCACGUAAAACUGGAGAUGAUAGUAAGGCUGGAUGUAGCAUAAGCUCAAAGUGGACAGAUUGGGAUAUAGGCAUAACACAAAGCGAAAAUCUUUCUCCGGCUUUUCUCAAAAUCUAAAUGGGUUCAGCUUUGAGGAGAGUUAACUUUGACCUUAUACAUGUAUGCAGAGGCAGACUUCCAGAGAUAAUCACAUGGAAUGACAAUCACACAAAAAGACGGGGGGCAGCAGCAGCGGCAAGCCAGCAAGACUGCAGCUUCUCAUGCCCAGCUCUGAGAAUCCGGAGAAACCGUGGAUCUGCCAGGUUGCUUCCCCCCCAGCCCUCCCCAACCAAGCCCGCAAGAUAUUUGCUGCCACCAUUUGGUUAAAAUAAGAAUGUUUAGGGUGCUAUGAUGCAUAGUCCCCCCCACUCCCCAAAAAAAAAAAAAAAGAAGGCAGAGCUGAAUCUUCGCACCACCAGCACCGUCAUCUUGCCAAUCCUGCUGAAAUGGAAUUCCCUUCUCCUCCCCAUCUUCUUCCUUUCUCUGCGCUGGAAAUAUCGCCGAUGGCUUUACAUCUUUAUAAGAGGUUAAAGACCCUUUCCUGAGAAUGAAGCAAUUUACAAUGCAAAUAGAGGCCUGUGGAGGGAUGGAUGCUACACACUCUUAACAGCUUGAUGCACCUUAAUAGCUGGUUUUAUUUUCUGAUAUUAACAGAUGAAUAGUUGGUCCAUUGCUGCUGGAAAUUACUGGAUUGAAAGGAAAGAAAAAGAGAGAGCAUGCGCAGGAGAGAGAAAGAGAGAGAAAGACAGAAGGGAAAGGAGAAAGAAAGAAAAAAAGUUUGGAGUAAAACUUUGAAGGCAAUAACAUCUUCUGGAUGUGCCUUAGAAGCACGCAAAGCUCCACAGACUGUAGCAGGUCAUAAUGGCUUUAAAAGGAUGAGCAUUUUGAGACGCAAGGUCGACUUGGAAAAAUCUGUUUGUGGAAACAGUCUGGAUUCUAGUGAGGAGGGGCUGAAAGCAUUGCAAACCAUAUGAGGGAAGUGAGUUGUUAUCUUUGGUUAUCUAGCUGUAUGAGUGUGUUGGUCUUCAUAAAGCUAGAUAACCGAAAGUAAAAACUCCUUCAUGAUCUUCGUGCUGCUCAAGAAACAAGAAAAGCUCCCGCAAGGGACAAUAAAAGCCCAACUCUAACAAGGAUGCUAACUGAAUGGCACAUUUCUGCAGAUCAAGGCAAGAGAGAGGGAGAAAAAGAAUGAAAUAACAUGCCUGUGUCAAAGACAUAUGUACAUGUGUAUCGAUAGAGACAUAUCUGUAGGAGAUACCAGGGCACAAGAUGGUGAAGAAUAAACCAUACGCUGCAAAGAGGAAAUUGUACUCAUGGUAAAACAAAUGCAUGUCCACGUUUUGCUUUUGUUUUGUUUUGUUUUUGCUGUUCUGUGGGGAAGGGGUGGGGAGGGCCGAUGAAAGAUGAUCCUGUUUAAAAAUGCAAUUUGAUUCUUUCCUGUUUAAUCCUGCUCAGAAGUAAGUUCCAUGAGGUCAAUGAGACUUGCUUCUAGGUGUUUGUAUGGAUCUGAAACCUUUCAUGCACUUUUAAAAUGUCAAGGAGGUUUUGCAAUGUACAGCUGUGGCCUAGUGUGAAUCUGAGAUAAUUUUAACAAUUUUUUAAUAGAUGUGUGUGUUUGUGUUUCUCUUCUCUGUGAGAUCUGCUUGACAGUUUUGGAGUGUUGCUCAGAGUAUUGCUAUUUCAAUGGGGAAGCACUUUUUUUUUUUUUGCAUGGCAUUAGGUGACAUUAAUAUUUAUUGAGGAUUUGGAGGAGUACCACAAAAUUGGAGAUGUGUGUUUCUGUGUGUUUGUGUUACAGGAGGCUUGGAGAAGCUUAUGGUUGAUUUAAAAAAAAACAGGAAAAAAAAGGAAAUCAGUCUCCUAUUCAAAAUGCAAGCACAGAUGCUUCUCUGUUCCUAGAGGGUUUCCUUGAGGAAGCUACUGAAGCAGAAAGACGUGAUGGAGACGCGAUUGCCUCCCCCCUUGUCAAAAUGUUAAAAAGUAGUCUGUGUCUUAUUCUGCGGGUAGCAUUGGAAAUGAAAGUGACAUUAACUCCCAAACCCACGUGUGUGCGCCUCCUCUCUUCUUGUUUAAGGAUGGCCAGAUCUAUCCAGGAAACUGCUUUGGCAUCCCUAACUGAAAUAAUUAGGACGUAUAUAGACCUGACCAAAAAAAAAAAAAACCCGGAAUAAAAGGAAAGGGGGAGGUGAAAUCCGAGGGUCUGGUCUUGCCUAAUUGAUUCCGUUAAACGGAAUGCCUGAGAUGUGAACGGCUGGAUGCUCCUAUUCCCACGCUCAGGGGCAAGUGGCCAUGCUAUGGCCCGGCAGCCUAUGAUAGACAGCCCUGCUGGGGGCUCCCUAUGAAAAAAACAUCAAGUGCACCACAGACUCAUCUCCAUCCCUUAAGAAAGUAGAGGCAUUUCCCACCCACAGCCAUCUGCAGGCACCCAAGAGGGGGACCCCAACUGUUUGGAACUGCAGAUUGUUGCUGUUAGCUCUAUCAUUACUCUUUCAGCUUCUCCUAAUAAAAUGUAGCUUUGCUUCUCAUGUAGACAUUUUCUACAGCUCAGGAAAGAGAAAGCAAAGAACUGGUAAAAAGCAAAGUUACUUUUCUGGUUAAAUGCACAACACAGGUUAUGGCCUAACAAAUGUUCAACAACAUUACCUCCCUCCCUCCAUCCAUCUAUCUAGAACCUGCUAUUGUACUUUGCUGAUCUUUUUGGAAUGGUAAAUAAAUAUAAGUUUUAAAUAAGUUUGAUUUCACAGUGAACAGUUAACUCCAAAUGCCUCAUCUAUCACAAAUGAAGAUACAGACUCCUCAGAACCAUCUUAUUGUAGGCUAAUACCUUGGUCUACUAAGCCAUUAGGAGUUGAACUCAGCUCAAAGGAACUUUUUUUACUUGCUAAGCUACUCAGAAGUCAUGUGCAUUGAGGAAUCCUUGCUGCCAAGCAAAUAUACACUGAACUGACAUCUUAACCCAAUUUUGGUUUAAUCUCCCUCCAAACAAAAGGCAUAAUUGAAAUUGUACAACAUACACAUGUCUAAUCUUAUGUGUGUGUGUGUGUGUGUGUGUUGAGAAAGAAUUAAAUGCAUUAAUGAGAUGCACUUGGUCUUUUUGUUUUAUAACAAAUGGCAUAAAACAUCAUUUUUAUAGCAGACCUUCAGCGAUCAAUACUUUUACAGCAGCUACAUUUUAAGGAGUUUAGAUAGUGAUUCUUUGUACAGCAUUUUGAAGACAGAACUGUGCAGGUACUCUGUUUAUAAAAGGUCCUGAGAAGCAUGGUAGCUGUGCACGUGCCUGAGUUUACGACUGCAGAGACCAGUGAACAGAUUCUUGUUUGUUUACUUGAGAAGUUCUGUUUGUGCAAUCAACCUUUCAUUGUUAAGUGCCUUUCUGCUUUUUCUUUACUGCAUGUCCAGGGGUGCUGUGUACCUAGAGCUAUUGUCUACUACAAUUAACAUUUACAUUACAAAGUACGUGGUUUUCUUUUUCUAAGAAGCUUAAUUAAGGGAAUAAGAUAAUAUGAAGGGGAGUCUUUUAUUUAGCCAAAAACAUGAAAUGGAGCAAAAUUAUUUUUACUUUGCUAAAUAAGUUUUUUUUACUUACAUCAUUGACUUUCUUGUAAAUUUGUUAAGAAAAACACCUAAUUUUUUUCUUUAUGAGAUAAUAAUUCUGUGUUAGCCAUUGUCACAUCAGAAUUGUUUUGUACCAUGCUAAUGUUACAUGAGUAUCAAUCAAUAAAAUACAUUUUAAUGUUA